rnacentral:rRNA from 1 species
GUGGGGAAUCUUGCGCAAUGGGCGAAAGCCUGACGCAGCCAUGCCGCGUGGAUGAUGAAGGUCUUAGGAUUGUAAAAUCCUUUCACCGGUGAAGAUAAUGACUGUAGCCGGAGAAGAAGCCCCGGCUAACUUCGUGCCAGCAGCCGCGGUAAUACGAAGGGGGCUAGCGUUGCUCGGAUUUACUGGGCGUAAAGGGCGCGUAGGCGGACAUUUAAGUCAGGGGUGAAAUCCCGGGGAUCAACCUCGGAACUGCCUUUGAUACUGGGUGUCUUGAGUAUGAGAGAGGUGUGUGGAACUCCGAGUGUAGAGGUGAAAUUCGUAGAUAUUCGGAAGAACACCAGUGGCGAAGGCGACACACUGGCCCGAUACUGACGCUGAGGUGCGAAAGCGUGGGGAGCAAACAGGAUUAGAAACCCGUGUAGUCC